rnacentral:rRNA from 1 species
AUUGAACGCUGGCGGCAGGCCUAACACAUGCAAGUCGAGCGGCAGCGGGAAAGUAGCUUGCUACUUUUGCCGGCGAGCGGCGGACGGGUGAGUAAUGCCUGGGAAAUUGCCCAGUCGAGGGGGAUAACAGUUGGAAACGACUGCUAAUACCGCAUACGCCCUACGGGGGAAAGCAGGGGACCUUCGGGCCUUGCGCGAUUGGAUAUGCCCAGGUGGGAUUAGCUAGUUGGAGAGGUAAUGGCCCACCAAGGCGACGAUCCCUAGCUGGUCUGAGAGGAUGAUCAGCCACACUGGAACUGAGACACGGUCCAGACUCCUACGGGAGGCAGCAGUGGGGAAUAUUGCACAAUGGGGGAAACCCUGAUGCAGCCAUGCCGCGUGUGUGAAGAAGGCCUUCGGGUUGUAAAGCACUUUCAGCGAGGAGGAAAGGUUGAUGCCUAAUACCUAUCAACUGUGACGUUACUCGCAGAAGAAGCCCCGGCUAACUUCGUGCCAGCCGCCGCCGUAACAC